rnacentral:rRNA from 1 species
GCUAUUUAGGUAGCGCCUCGUGAAUUCAUCUCCGGGGGUAGAGCACUGUUUCGGCUAGGGGGCCAUCCCGGCUUACCAACCCGAUGCAAACUGCGAAUACCGGAGAAUGUUAUCACGGGAGACACACGGCGGGUGCUAACGUCCGUCGUGAAGAGGGAAACAACCCAGACCGCCAGCUAAGGUCCCAAAGUCAUGGUUAAGUGGGAAACGAUGUGGGAAGGCCCAGACAGCCAGGAUGUUGGCUUAGAAGCAGCCAUCAUUUAAAGAAAGCGUAAUAGCUCACUGGUCGAGUCGGCCUGCGCGGAAGAUGUAACGGGGCUAAACCAUGCACCGAAGCUGCGGCAGCGACACUGUGUGUUGUUGGGUAGGGGAGCGUUCUGUAAGCCUGCGAAGGUGUCCCG